rnacentral:rRNA from 1 species
CACGUAGGGCGCAAGCGUUGUCCGGAAUUAUUGGGCGUAAAGAGCUCGUAGGCGGUCUGUUGCGUCCGCUGUGAAAACCCAGGGCUUAACCCUGGGCUGGCAGUGGAUACGGACAGACUAGAGGUAGGUAGGGGAGAAUGGAAUUCCCGGUGUAGCGGUGAAAUGCGCAGAUAUCGGGAGGAACACCGGUGGCGAAGGUGGUUCUCUGGGCCUUACCUGACGCUGAGGAGCGAAAGCGUGGGGAGCGAACAGG